AUAACAAUGAGAAAUAAUAAAACCCGGAAGAACCCUUUUAGCCGUUGGAAGCGUGGGUAAUGGUGGUUCUUCCGAUGUGGAUCGCGUUGGCUUGAAUGUGAGCUUUGAAUGCCGAGUGGGAGUGAGUAGUUGAGCACGAAAUCAGAUGGGAAAGCUUGAAUGCACUUGAUUUCUCCUCUUGAAAGCUCUAACUCCCUUGAACCUCUUUUUCUUUCUUCUCUCUUGAAUGAUCUUGUGUUGGGUUGGUGAGAAGUUGUUGGAAGGCACUUAAAAGCUUCCUUUUAUAGCCCAAAAAGCAAUAGAUCC
rnacentral:lncRNA from 1 species